rnacentral:tRNA from 1 species
GUAGGUAUAGCUCAGUUGGUUAGAGCAUCUGGUUGUGGUUCAGAGGGUCGUGGGUUCGAGCCCCAUUACUUACCCCA